rnacentral:misc_RNA from 1 species
GAUGAAGAACGCAGCGAAAUGCGAUACGUAAUGUGAAUUGCAAAUUCAGUGAAUCAUCGAGUCUUUGAACGCACAUUGCGCCCCCUGGUAUUCCGGGGGGCAUGCCUGUCCGAGCGUCAUUGCUGCCCUCAAGCACGGCUUGUGUGUUGGGCCCCGUCCUCCGAUUCCGGGGGACGGGCCCGAAAGGCAGCGGCGGCACCGCGUCCGGUCCUCGAGCGUAUGGGGCUUUGUCACCCGCUCUGUAGGCCCGGCCGGCGCUUGCCGAUCAACCCAAAUUUUUAUCCAGGUUGACCUCGGAUCAGGUAGGGAUACCCGCUGAACUUAAGCAUAUCAUAAGCGGAGGA